rnacentral:rRNA from 1 species
AAAUUGAAGAGUUUGAUCAUGGCUCAGAUUGAACGCUGGCGGCAGGCCUAACACAUGCAAGUCGAACGGUAACAGGAAGCAGCUUGCUGCUUUGCUGACGAGUGGCGGACGGGUGAGUAAUGUCUGGGAAACUGCCUGAUGGAGGGGGAUAACUACUGGAAACGGUGGCUAAUACCGCAUAACGUCGCAAGACCAAAGAGGGGGACCUUCGGACCUCUUGCCAUCAGAUGUGCCCAGAUGGGAUUAGCUGGUUGGUGAGGUAACGGCUCACCAAGGCGACGAUCCCUAGCUGGUCUGAGAGGAUGACCAGCCACACUGGAACUGAGACACGGUCCAGACUCCUACGGGAGGCAGCAGUGGGGAAUAUUGCACAAUGGGCGCAAGCCUGAUGCAGCCAUGCCGCGUGUAUGAAGAAGGCCUUCGGGUUGUAAAGUACUUUCAGCGGGGAGGAAGGUGUUGUGGUUAAUAACCGCAGCAAUUGACGUUACCCGCAGAAGAAGCACCGGCUAACUCCGUGCCAGCAGCCGCGGUAAUACGGAGGGUGCAAGCGU